UAUCACAGCCACUUUGAUGUGGU
rnacentral:miRNA from 2 species